rnacentral:rRNA from 1 species
CAGUUCUAGUUAUUUUAUAAUAACUUUAACCAAAUUCUUUUUUUAACUAAUAUCAAAAACCAUAUACAAACAAAAAAAUAAAAAUGUGUGAAAAAAAUAACCUAGGCUUACCAAUGGAUGUCUUGGCUCCUCACACGAUGAAGAACGUUGCAUAAUGUGUUAAGUAACUGGAGUUGCAAGCAUUGUGACAAGUUAAUCUUUGAAUGCAAAUUGCGCUUAUCCUCACUUUCGGGUGAAGAUUGCAUGUAUGCCACAGUACUGCAUAACAUAAAUUAUAUUCUUUCUACAUAAAAUAGAAAGCAAAUAAUAAUUUAAGCAAAAACAAUAC